AAAGACUUAGUCCUAACCUUACCGUUAAUUCUUGCUAGACAUAUACAUGCAAGUAUCCGCACUCCAGUGUAAAUGCCCUAGAACUCUUAAUAAGAGGCAAAAGGAGCAGGCAUCAGGCGCACUCAAAACUGUAGCCCAAGACGCCUUGCUUAGCCACACCCCCACGGGUAUUCAGCAGUAAUUAACAUUAAGCAAUAAGUGCAAACUUGACUUAGUUAUAGCAACACAUAGGGUCGGUAAAUUUUGUGCCAGCCACCGCGGUCAUACAAGAGACCCAAAUUAACCGUAACACGGCGUAAAGAGUGGUAUCAUGAUAUCACAACAACUAAGAUCAAAACACAGUUGAGCUGUCAUAAGCUUAAAAUGUGUCUAAGACCACCCUCAACACGACCUUAGUACCAAUGACUAAUUUACAGCCACGAAAGCCAGGACACAAACUGGGAUUAGAUACCCCACUAUGCCUGGCCCUAAAUCCUGAUACUUACUUAACCAAAGUAUCCGCCUGAGAACUACGAGCACAAACGCUUAAAACUCUAAGGACUUGGCGGUGUCCCAAACCCACCUAGAGGAGCCUGUUCUAUAAUCGAUAACCCACGAUAUACCCAACCGCCCCUUGCCAAAGCAGCCUACAUACCGCCGUCGCCAGCCCACCUCAUUGAGAGUAUAACAGUGAGCCAAAUAGCCCCCCACCGCUAACAAGACAGGUCAAGGUAUAGCCCAUGGGGCGGAAGAAAUGGGCUACAUUUUCUAACCUAGAAAACCCACGGAAAGGGACAUGAAACUGCCCCUGGAAGGCGGAUUUAGCAGUAAAGCGGGACAAUCAAGCCCCCUUUAAGACGGCACUGGGACACGUACAUACCGCCCGUCACCCUCCUCAACAAAGCUGCCUAAGCCCCAUAAUUCAAUACACCAACUAGCCAGAGAUGAGGUAAGUCGUAACAAGGUAAGUGUACCGGAAGGUGCACUUAGCAUA
rnacentral:ncRNA from 1 species